GUGACGAUAAAGCAUGAACGGAUACUGAGAAGUGGAGAAGGAAGAGAACGAGUAGGUUAUGAUAUGGAAAAAUUGGGGAAAAAGGAAAUGGCAAGCCUAGAUCCAACAUAGAGAUGAAAGAGAACACAAAUAUGCUAUCUUUACAUAGAAACUGAGCAGGGGAAAAAGGUAAAACAGAAUAGAAAACCAUUGGACCCAAAGAAAGGAGAACUGAUGAAGAAGGAUAG
rnacentral:lncRNA from 1 species